ensembl:lncRNA
CAUUUGUCAGAGAGAGAAUACUCCUCCAUGGACGUUACAUGUUUAUAGAACCUGAAAAAAACAGCAGGCAGGUCUUAAGAGAUGGAAUACACAAAGAAAUGACUCUUGAGAAUCCCUUGGACUGCAAAGAGAUCCAACCAGUCAAUCCCAAAGUCAGUCCUGAAUAUGCAUUGGAAGGACUGAUGCUGAAGCUGAAACUCCAAUCCUUUGGCCACCUGAUGUGAAGAACUGACUCAUUGGCAGAGACUCCGAUGCUGAAAGAGUGAAGGCCGGAGUAGAAGGGGACGACAGAGGAUGAGAUGGCUGGAUGGCAUCACCGACUCGAUGGACAUGAAUUUGAGUAAGCUCUGGGAGUUGGUGAUGGACAGGGAGGCCUGGCAUGCUGCUGUCCAUGGGGUCGCAAAGAGUUGGACACGACUGAGCAACUGAACUGAAGAUUCCUAUUAUUCAUAUGCUGCUCCUUUUAUCCAGUGAGCAUCUUGCUAGGUUUCUCACGUACUGCCUUCAGCAGGAGCCUGGUGCCCUCCUGUAGUUUAUUAUCCAGAAUGGACCCCUUUGAGCAAACACUGUACAACCUUAGAAUCAAGCAGAUAGAGAGCACACUUUGAGAAAGACUGUACUGCGUCUCCCAGUAAAAGUCAUCCCUGAUGGAAGAAGUGUUCUCUCCUCCCAUGGGGUGCAGAGUCUGGAGGUGAUAUCAGAAGUGCUCGGGCGUCCAGCACGGAUGCUGCAGGGCAGUUCAUCCCCGGCAUCUUCCCGCUCCCGCAGCCCUGCAGGGGAGACCACGGAGGCCCCAGUGUGCUGGAGAACAGAGCAAGUAUCAAAGAACCCAGUCCCUUGCAGAACCAGGCAUGCUCCCAUCUCCACCCAAGUUUAACGUGUUGUCCAGUCAGUAACAGCCCCCUUCCUUGCAGAAGUGUUGCCUAGGACUGUCCCCCACCCUAAAUCUUGCUCAUAAUUAAGUUCAAGAACAGAAUUAGACAAUAGUCAGACUACAAAGCAGGCAGCAGUGGGCAGGGGGCAGGAGCACAGACUUUGGAGUCAGACCUGGGAUCGACACAAUUCACUAGUCAUGUGAUUGUGGACAAGCUUUUGAACUACAGUGAGGAUCAGUUUCUUCUGCAAAAACGGGAAUAAUCCCUGCUUCGCCAGACUGUGGUGAGAAUUGAAGAGCACAACUUGAUGUUUGCAUUUUAUUUCCUUCUUGUCCCUAGAACAGCAUGUAAUGUUAUUUCCAGGAGGCAGAAAAAGCAUAAGACUUUAUCUAGAGUCCUGAAUAAUUGAUAAAAAUUUUGCGUCUCUUCUUUUUUUUGGUUAUGGUAUCAGAGGAAGUACAGUCAUAUUUUCUCAGCUUCAAACAACCACAUAGGACAGUACAAUUAGGAAAUGGAGAAUCUCAUUUGAACACUGUUUGGAAUCUUAUUUACAGGCAGAAUUCGAAAACAGGACAAAAGAAAACUCCAUUCUUGUAUUGGAGGAUCAUCUACUUAAUGCAGUUACAGAACACUAACAUUUUUUCUGGCACAUUAGAGAUAGAUAAGAUUGGCACUUAUCGGGGUCUUAUUUGAAUGAUCUGAACACUCACCUGUGGCUACAGAGGAGGAGCCUGUGCUUUUCCUGCCUAGGACACUUGGAAGAGUUGCACACCUGGCUCAG